UAUACAGCGAAACUGCGAAUGGCCCAUUAUAUAAGUUAUCGUUUAUUUGAUAGUGCCUUACUACUUGGAUAACCGUGGUAAUUCUAGAGCUAAUACAUGCUAAAAACCCCGACUUCGGAAGGGGUGUAUUUAUUAGAUACAAAACCAAUGCCCUUCGGGGCUCUUUGGUGAUUCAUGAUAACUAUACGAAUCGCACGGCCUUGCGCCGGCGAUGGUUCAUUCAAAUUUCUUCCCUAUCAACUUUCGAUGUUUGGGUAUUGGCCAAACAUGGUUGCAACGGGUAACGGAGGGUUAGGGCUCGACCCCGGAGAAGGAGCCUGAGAAACGGCUACUACAUCCAAGGAAGGCAGCAGGCGCGCAAAUUACCCAAUCCCGACUCGGGGAGGUAGUGACAAUAAAUACUGAUACAGGGCCCUUUCGGGCCUUGUAAUUGGAAUGAGUACAAUUUAAAUCCCUUAACGAGGAACAAUUGGAGGGCAAGUCUGGUGCCAGCAGCCGCGGUAAUUCCAGCUCCAAUAGCGUAUAU
rnacentral:rRNA from 1 species